rnacentral:rRNA from 1 species
CACGCCUAACACAUGCAAGUCGAGCGAGGUAGCAAUACCUAGCGGCAGACGGGUGAGUAACAUGUGGGAAUCUGCCUUUUGGUUCGGAAUAACACGAGGAAACUUGUGCUAAUACCGGGUAAGCCUUUACAGGGAAAGUUUUAAUGCCAAAAGAUGAGCCCGCAUUUGAUUAGCUAGUUGGUGAGGUAAAAGCUCACCAAGGCGAUAAUCAAUAGCUGAUUUGAGAGAAUGAUCAGCCACACUGGGACUGAGACACGGCCCAAACUCC